AGUGAACGCUGGCGGUAGGCCUAACACAUGCAAGUCGAACGGCAGCACAGUAAGAGCUUGCUCUUACGGGUGGCGAGUGGCGGACGGGUGAGGAAUACAUCGGAAUCUACUUUUUCGUGGGGGAUAACGUAGGGAAACUUACGCAAUACCGCAUACGACCUACGGGUGAAAGCAGGGGAUCUUCGGACCUUGCGCGAUUGAAUGAGCCGAUGUCGGAUUAGCUAGUUGGCUGGGUAAAGGCCCACCAAGGCGACGAUCCGUAGCUGGUCUGAGAGGAUGAUCAGCCACACUGGAGCUGAGACACGGUCCAGACUCCUACGGGAGGCAGCAGUGGGGAAUAUUGGACAAUGGGCGCAAGCCUGAUCCAGCCAUACCGCGUGGGUGAAGAAGGCCUUCGGGUUGUAAAGCCCUUUUGUUGAGAAAGAAAAGCAGCAGGUUAAUACCCCGCUGUUCUGACGGUACCCAAAGAAUAAGCACCGGCUAACUUCGUG
rnacentral:rRNA from 1 species